rnacentral:rRNA from 1 species
CCUACGGGCGGCAGCAGUGAGGAAUAUUGGUCAAUGGGCGGAAGCCUGAACCAGCCAAGUCGCGUGCAGGAUGACGGCCCUACGGGUUGUAAACUGCUUUUAUACGGGAAUAACGCGCCUUACGUGUAGGGCUUUGCAUGUACCGUAUGAAUAAGGAUCGGCUAAUUCCGUGCCAGCAGCCGCGGUAAUACGGAGGGUCCGGGCGUUAUCCGGAUUUAUUGGGUUUAAAGGGUGCGUAGGCCGCAUGUCAAGCGUGCUGUGAAAUGUCCGGGCUCAACCCGGGUCAUGCAGCGAGAACUGGAGUGCUUGAGACCGCGGAAGGCAGGCGGAAUUCGUCGAGUAGCGGUGAAAUGCUGAGAUAUGACGAAGAACCCCGAUAGCGAAGGCAGCUUGCUGCAGCGGAACUGACGCUGAUGCUCGAAAGCGCGGGUAGCGAACAGGAUUAGAUACCCUGGUAGUC